UCCUCACAGUAUGAAGUGCAGAAGAAGGCAAUUCUGGGCACAUUGUGGGUGCUGAGGAAAACACUAUCGGCUAACAUCAAAGAUUGAAGCAAUACUGAUGUCAUGAACUUUAAUAAUGCCCUAAAUAAAGAAGGGAGUCCACUCCUGUUAAGUGAAAAAUCGGCUAAGGAGUAACAGACAGAGUGGCUCUCUGAAACUGACAAAGCAACCAAAACUGAAUUUCUUGAAUGCAUGCUCAUAGCAGCAUCCGAAAAAAUGCAAUACACAAGCCUAUAAAGCUGGACUGGGAGAUGAAAAAUAUAGCACUAAAAUUAAAUAUUGAUGACCUCAUUAUAUAUAUAUAUAAAAACAAAAGGAUUGGUGAAUGUGGAACAUUGUUCUUUAAUAUUUUAAUUUAAGCUUUAUUCUAAUGCUCAUGACUUAAUUUUCUGUGUGGCACAGAACAUUGUCAUUCUAUUUCUGAGCAAAAUAAAUAAGCAGGUGGUAUGCUAAAUGGG